AUUGAACGCUGGCGGCAGGCCUAACACAUGCAAGUCGAACGAGUGGCGGACGGGUGAGUAAUGUCUGGGAAACUGCCUGAUGGAGGGGGAUCACUACUGGAAACGGUAGCUAAUACCGCAUACCAUCGGAUGUCCCCAGAUGGGAUUAGCUUGUUGGUGGGGUAACGGCUCACCAAGGCGACGAUCCCUAGCUGGUCUGAGAGGAUGAACAGGAACACUGGAACGGAGACACGGUCCAGAGGCCGACGGGAGGCAGCAGUGGGGAAUAUUGCACAAGGGGCGCAAGCCUGAUGCAGCCAUGCCGCGUGUAUGAAGAAGGCCUUGGGGUUGUAAAGUACUUUCAGCGGGGAGGCGUUACCCGCAGAAGAAGCACCGGCUAACUCCGUGCCAGCAGCCGCGGUAAUUC
rnacentral:rRNA from 1 species